rnacentral:rRNA from 1 species
AGGACGAACGCUGGCGGUGUGCUUCACACAUGCAAGUCGAACGGGGUAGCAAUACUCAGUGGCGGACGGGUGAGUAACGCGUAGGAAUCUGCCUUUAGGUGGGGGAUAGCAGACCGAAAGGUCUAUUAAUACCGCAUAUGUAUGCGCUUAGACAUUUGCGCAUAUGAAAGGAGUAAUUUGCCUGAAGAUGAGCCUGCGUCCGAUUAGCUAGUUGGUAGGGUAACGGCCUACCAAGGCGACGAUCGGUAGGUGGUCUGAGAGGAUGAUCACCCACAAUGGGACUGAGACACGGCCCAUACUCCUACGGGAGGCAGCAGUGGGGAAUUUUGUGCAAUGGGCGAAAGCCUGACACAGCGACACCGCGUGAACGAAGAAGGCCUUUGGGUCGUAAAGUUCUGUCGGCUGGAACGAAAAAAUGACGGUACCAGCAAAGGAAGCAUCGGCUAACUACGCGCUAGCAGCCGCGGUAA